rnacentral:misc_RNA from 1 species
GUGCGGCUGCUGCUGAAGC